CAGUGGAGCUAGAAUCGGUUAGUGUAUAAUUGCUCUAGCUGUGUUGUUUAUAUUCUCAUAUACUAUCUAAAUUACUAUUGUUUAUUUAUUUUAAUUACUUUCUCGUUCAUUGAUUACUUGAUUGAUUAUUCUCACUUAUCGACUGAUUUGAAAUAAAUGGCCUAGUCACAUUUUUUUUUAUUUUCGUAUUGUCUAUUUGUAUGACUUAUUGUUGAUAUGUAAAUGCGAAAUAUUGGUAUGUAAUUAGUGAUUGGUUGAUGAUGUGGAUAUAUUUAUGAAAAGUUUAUCAAUUACCCUAGGGAAGGGUGUAUCGAU
rnacentral:lncRNA from 1 species